GACGAACGCUGGCGGCGUGCCUAAUACAUGCAAGUUGAGCGCUGAAGGUUGGUACUUGUACCAACUGGAUGAGCAGCGAACGGGUGAGUAACGCGUGGGGAAUCUGCCUUUGAGCGGGGGACAACAUUUGGAAACGAAUGCUAAUACCGCAUAAAAACUUUAAACACAAGUUUUAAGUUUGAAAGAUGCAAUUGCAUCACUCAAAGAUGAUCCCGCGUUGUAUUAGCUAGUUGGUGAGGUAAAGGCUCACCAAGGCGAUGAUACAUAGCCGACCUGAGAGGGUGAUCGGCCAAAGUGGGACUGAGACACGGCCCAAACGCCUACGGGAGGCAGCAGGAGGGAAUCUUCGGCAAUGGACGAAAGUCUGAACGGGCAACGCCGCGGGAGUGAAGAAGGUUGUCGGAUCGGAAAACUCGGUUGGUAGAGAAGAACGUUGGUGAGAGUGGAAAGCUCAUCAAGUGACGGUAACUACCCAGAAAGGGACGGCUAACUACGUG
rnacentral:rRNA from 1 species